ACACUCCCCCUGGCAGCACAUACUCUAAAAUUGGAGCAAUACAGAAAAGAUUAGCAUGGACCCUGUGCAAAGAUGAUAUGAAGAAUCAUGAAGUGUUCCAUAUUUUU